CCCUUAGAUGUUCUGGGCCGCACGCGCGCUACACUGAUGCACUCAACGAGUCUCCACCUUGACCGAAAGGUCCGGGAAACCUUCGAACUUGCAUCGUGAUGGGGAUAGAUUAUUGCAACUAUUAAUCUUCAACGAGGAAUACCUAGUAAGCGCAUGUCAUCAGCGUGCGUUGAUUACGUCCCUGCCCUUUGUACACACCGCCCGUCGCUCCUACCGAUUGAAUGGUCCGGUGAAAUCUCGGGACGGCGGCUUGGUCGCUUGCGUCCGACUGCUGAAACUUGAUUAAACCAUAUCAUUUAGAGGAAGGUGAAGUCGUAACA
rnacentral:rRNA from 1 species